rnacentral:rRNA from 1 species
UACGGAGGGUGCAAGCGUUAAUCGGAAUUACUGGGCGUAAAGCGCACGUAGGCGGUCUGUUAUGUCGGAUGUGAAAGCCCUUGGCUUAACUGAGGAAGUGCAUCCGAAACUGGCAGGCUAGAGUACUAAAGAGGGUCGCGGAAUUCCCGGUGAUAGAGGUGAAAUUCGUAGAUAUCGGGAGGAACACCGGGUGGCGAAGGCGGCGACCUGGGGUAGAUACG